UACGUAGGGGGCUAGCGUUGUCCGGAAUCAUUGGGCGUAAAGAGCGUGUAGGCGGCCCGGUAAGUCCGCUGUAAAAGUCAAAGGCUCAACCUUUGAAUGUCAGUGGAUACUGCCGGGCUAGAGUCCGGAAGAGGCGAGUGGAACUCCUGGUGUAGCGGUGGAAUGCGCAGAUAUCAGGAAGAACACCAACGGCGAAGGCAGCUCGCUGGGACGGUACUGACGCUAAGGCGCGAAAGCGUGGGGAGCGAACAGG
rnacentral:rRNA from 1 species